CAUGCGCAUUUGCGCAAUUGGACGGUUGAACUUGAGGAAGACGUCAAGACGAGACGACAUCGACGAGGGACUUCAGCUCGUGUUCGGGAAUGGAUGCGGCAGCAAAACUAGAUUCGCUCAACGUUUCAUCAAUAAAUUCAAGGCUAAAUCUGGAGAUACUAUAUUGGCUCCAAACUUAAGAUUCUGCAGCAGAUUCAAAAUGACAAAUCUAAUAUCAAUGCGGAACGAACAGCGUUCUUCAUCAUGGCCUACCACUACUUUUCGAGGAGGACCACAAUGAUUUUUACAAGACAUCUUUUGACUGUGAUGACAAUGAAGAUAUGUCCAACAUUGAAAUGAGUUCUGACAGUGAUUUCCGAAUCGUCUGCAACCGCUGCCAUACCCUACUCCCUGCAUCUUGAUGCCACAACAACGGCAAUCAUUCUGGAAGGUACAGUGGUUGUGGAUGAUCUUGAAAAUCUUCCACAAGCAAUGAGCUGUCUUUAAAGGAACACUCCACCAUUUUUCUUUAUAUUAAACUAUUUUAUUACCUUAACUAAGACAAGUUGUUACAUACCUCUCUCGUUUCAGUGCGCCGUACACUUAAUUUCUCUGACGUGCAGCGAAACUUUGAUAGCCCUUAACUAGCCCUGUUCAUUCAUUAGGAUCCAAGCAGUGAAGCUACCAAACACCUCCACAUUUUCCCUAUUUAAAUACAGUUACACAAGUAGUUAUACGACCAAGUAUGGUGACAAAAUAAAAUGUGCCGCUUUUCUAAGCGUGUAAAGUGGAGAACUACAAUGUAUGGCGGAAUAGCACUUGAGAGCGCUUCGACUUGGCACAGUAAUAUCAUCACUACUGAUGAUGAGAGGAUUUUUUAGGAGUGAUGAUAU